CAACGAGGGACUGAACCUGGGCCACGGCAGUGAGAGCACGGAGUCCUAACCACUGGACCGCCAGUGUACAAACACAUUUAGGUCUCUCCCAGCCUUGGAGACUUCUCUCGAUGACGCUAUUCCUUCGAAGUGGUCCUGGCUCGCUCCUUACCGGCACUGCUGCACUGUGAGGAGGCUUGCAGGAUCUUAGUUCCCUGACCAGGGAAUGAACCUGGGCCUCCGGCAGUGGAAGCAUGGAGUCCUAACCACCGGACCGGACCGCCAGGGAAUUCCCUGGGCUGUCUUCUUGGGAAUUCCCUGGGCUAUCUUCUUUAGCUUACCUAAUGCAGGUAAAUACU